UUUGCAGGCUCAUGGAGUCAGCAAAGAAGAGGAGGUUUAUGAACAGCAGCCCUUGCACUCUGCACAGGAUGGCUGCAGGGAAUGCUUUUCGGUCUUGCCCAGAGAAGUGGGCCAGGGUCACUGAGAUACCUCUGAGAU
rnacentral:lncRNA from 1 species